rnacentral:rRNA from 1 species
UACGGAGGGUGCAAGCGUUAUCCGGAUUUACUGGGUUUAAAGGGUGUGUAGGCGGGUCUUUAAGUCAGUGGUGAAAUCUCCGAGCUCAACUUGGAAACUGCCAUUGAUACUACUGAUCUUGAAUUUUGUUGAGGUAGGCGGAAUAAGUCAUGUAGCGGUGAAAUGCAUAGAUAUGACUUAGAACACCAAUUGCGAAGGCAGCUUGCUAAACAAAUAUUGACGCUGAGGCACGAAAGCGUGGGGAUCAAACAGG